AAAAAAAACAGUUAUUGAAAUUCACCUGAAAAAGAGUAAACGAAUAGCGGCUAUCUAAAUUAUUUUUCAAAUAUCGAAUAAACAAAUAAAUCGGCCACGCUUGCAAUUUGUUUUUUACUGACAGGUGUCUGCUGGUAUUCGAUUGGACAUCAGUAUCAAUGUAGGCGUAACAACCUAUCAUAUUUAUCCAAUCAGCUGUCUUGUAUAAGGUAAAAUGUAUUCGAUGACAUACGGUCCACAUAGUUUAGUUUUUUUUUAAGUUGAUUGCAAUAAAAAUUAUUCAUACACUCUAAAACAAACAAUAUCCUGCCCAAAAAUGACUUACAAGACACUAUAUUAUACUUUUAAAAAUAACUAUAUUAAAUUACAAAUUAAGACAGCGUAAAAAUAAAAUAAUAACAUUAAUAACAAUUACAGUACUAUUUAACGGUAGAGCUCUGAUUUAACGGGGACUAUUAUGCUAUUAGAAUGAUAGUCCCAGCAAGUUAACAAAUUGAUCAUCAAAAGGACGGUUGUGUUUAUUUACUUGUGCACUCUAUUGUGGGACCUCGUGUCAUCAUGAAUGAUACAUUUUAUUGUGUAUUUAAAUUGAUUAAGGAAUAACGCAAGAUUGCAGAGAAGCCAAUUAGAAUAACGUAUUAUAAUGAAACAUAUAUCUAAUGUUAUUAUAACAUUGUACAUGUCCUCCUAAUGAUACAUCUAAUAGUUGCCACUGGACAUUAAACAGCUAACUAUAAAUUCAUCCGUCAUAUUCUUAGUUUUGUUAUAAUGUGAAAAUCCAACAACAUGAUGAUAUAAUAAUUAUUGCAGAUUUCACUAGGGAAAUACGUGGGAAAUAAUUGUAAACAAAACCUUACCACUCAAUAACAUCCCUACGGCACAUAUUAAAGUCUAGCCUUUUCACAUUAAUAUACGUUAUUUUCAUAAAUCUAUUCUAAAUAAUUUUAAACAAUUUUAAAUCAAACGGUAUUUUUUCUUAUUUGCCAUAAAAAAAAACAAAAACAAUUAUUUGCUUAUUUUAAACAGAUCGAUUGUUUUUCAAUGGUCGGUGCCUGUCAGCAUUUAUAAAACCGUGUUUGCCAGAAAGAAAGCUACAUAGAACAGGAAAACAACAAUGUAUUAGAAAUACUUCAAGGUCCUACGUGUAUAUUCUAUUUUCUGUUGUAAUGUGGUGUAAUGCAAAAAAAAGUUAAUUCCUGAAUACUGAUUUGUACCCAUCAAGCAUUUGGGGUUAAUAACAAAUCUAUGGUAGUCUUUACUCGCAAAGUAUUCGACUAAAUCAUGUUUUAUUAAUGAAAAUUGCUCAUUGCUGGCGAAUGUUAAACAUUGAUCUCUAGGUUUUCAAUUGUUUAGUUGUUAGGUUACUGUCUGAUCUCGCAAACCUGAUAUUUUAUGGUCAUUAUUGUUUGCAUCCAAUUGCACCAAUGCAUUAAAAAGAUAUAAACGCGACACCGUACGAGAGUCGUUAAUCGUUAUUUUACAUAAACUAUUAGUAUUUUCUUUCUUUAACGAAAUACGAAACCACUUCUCGCAAUUCGCUUUGGGGUUAUUGUGCUUGUCUUUUGACAAAAAAUAGCCUUGUUUCAAAAACAAAACGUAUAAGAGUAAUAUUUAAAACUGAACUAGAGUGAAGAGAUAGGAAGUAGGAAUUUCGAAUUUUAAUUGAAUGUUCUAAAUCUUAGUGUAUUUCUGAUAUAUGAUUGUACAGACUCAAAAAUAUCUUUGUUUUUCUGAAAUAGAUAGAUAGAUAGAUAGAUACUUUAUUCUCUAAAAACUAAAUACAAGUUUUCAGAGAAACAUACAAUAUAAUUUACAGAUACAAUAGUUGAAAUGAAAGGUCACCGUCACCAGCCAAUGAAAGCAAAAUGGAUAUAGUAGAUCUUUCUAAUUUUGAAAACAAUAUUUCUCUUGCUUCGUUGAUAAAAGGGCACUUAAGAAAUAGUGAAUACUAUCCUCAACAGGAUGACCACAGCUGCUUGCGGGAUUGGGUUUAAUAUUGAUAAGGUUUAUAUCUGCAUUUG
rnacentral:lncRNA from 1 species